rnacentral:lncRNA from 1 species
CAGGUAUAUGGCUUCAUUUUAAAAAGCUAAAAUUAAAAGAUAGAUGAGACAACGGGCCAGGUUUUUUGUUUGUUUGUUUGUUUGUUUUGCUUUAAUUUCUACUUAUUUGCUAACCAUUCAUUACUUUUACAGCUAAAAAAUAAGUUUAGGAGAAAGAAUAUGGCUUAGUUUUGACUUAAUUGGUAUGUAAAGAAAACAAAAUUUUCAUUGGGCUUAGAGCUGAAAAACUUGGCUUUAUGGAUCUAGAAUAAACUGUUUUAACUGAAAUAAUUCUGUGCCUUGGCUUGUAAAUCAUCUUUUUUCUCCCUUGUGGUCUGAAACAGAUACAAGAAAGAUUGGAGACCUGUGUGCCUGGCAAUUGCCUUGUUGAAAGGAAGCCCUCAGCAAAAGUUGGUUGAUGAUUCAUUCUUUACCCUGCCCUCUGCCUCAGGAAGAUCAUCUUUUUGGACUCUAUCAUUUAACUCAUGUGCCCUCUGGCUUCCUGUAGGAUUUGGCCAACAAGGAGUCCCAGCAAGAGAAGGAAGAAGACAGGAAAGUGAGGUCAGAGUAUUCUUUUCCCCGGCUCCCUCUCUAGGAGUUUGUCUUGGACUGAGUGUUUCACUUGACUAACCGGUAUGUUCCUCUUCUUCGAGGUUCUAGUCAUCUCUCCCUCAUCUUAUCCCUUCAGUCUUCAGGUUCUUGC